rnacentral:tRNA from 1 species
AGAGAGGUGGCCGAGUGGUCGAAGGCGCACGCCUGGAAAGUGUGUAUGCGGCAUAACCGUAUCGAGGGUUCGAAUCCCUUCCUCUCUGC